CAGCCAGCAGAGGGGAGAAGUGGCUGGACGUCCAGGUGAGGCAACUUAACUUCAGAGACAGUGGCUGGUUGAGGCAACUUGACUUUGGAAAAGAAAGGCAGACAGGCAGCUUGGCUUCAGAGGUGAGCGACCUGCCCUUCCCAUCCCCCUCCCAGCUCCCCUCUCCCUGAGAGCCACUUUCAUCACUCAAUAAAAUUCUCCACAUUCACUAUCCUUCAAUUUUUCCAUGUGACCUCAUUCUUUUUGAGCAGUGGACAAGAAUUUGGGAUGCACCAUGUACGGGUACCCAAAAAGGCUGUCACACUGACCCUUUGCCAUUGCUAGCAGAGGGCAGCCACCACAUGUGACAAAGCAAAAGGCCCACUGAGCUGAUAACACACUGCUAUCAGCAGGCGGCAGAGCUAAGAGAGCAUUGUAACUCACCGGCCUUGGGGUCAAGGGGGCCUGCACAGAGUUUGCUCCUGCCAGUGGACUUCGCUCCUGCCAGCACGGAAGAAGUCAGCUGGUUCCUGCACUUGGUCGCUCCCAUGCUCCCUCCUGCUAGGGGUGGAGCCCGGGUGAACCGAAGUGAAGGGAGUUUGCUCCUGCUAGGCUACUGGCCAGUUCUGCACUCACUCACUCUGGUUCCACACUCCUUUGCUUGCAUGCUCCCUCCCGAGAGGGGUUGAGCAGGGCAGGCUGAGCAAAUGAGCCACUCUUGUCGCAAGACCAGUGAUGGGGUCGAGAAAAUAUCCUGCGUCGCUGGCAGGCACAGGCAAGGAAAUGCCUACUCUCAGCAGCAACCUUGAAGAUGUUGUGGAAGUCGAUGACCAUUCUUACUUCACUCCGAGGACCAUGAUGGCGUGCAAGAGUGUGCCAAGCACGUUGCUAUCUUUGGCCAUUCUCUCUCACAUUAGUACACCUGGAUGUGAAUGGCAAGUUAUCUAUCUAAGCAGUGAUGGUCUCUUUCUGGUGGUAGAAAUGAUGGAAUUACACACAAUCAAGACAACUGAGAUUCCAUUUACUAACUCAGUAAUCAGAGAAUAUGUAUGA
ensembl:lincRNA